AGGUUUUGUUUUUUUUUUCAUUUUGGAAAAAUGUUAACUGAUUUUAUUUAUUUAUUUAUUUUUAAUUCCAGGUCCGGACCUUGAUGGGCAACCUGUUUCCUGGAGAGAGCAAAGAAUCCCUCCUCAACAGCAAAGUUGGAGAUUUGACCAAAACUCUCCUGGAUCGAAAGCUGAAAUCUUUCCCCGGCGGGAAAGCUUUGCAGAGGCCUCUGAAAUCCACAGGAUCCGAAGCCCCAACCAGCAUGUACAUUCAAAUCGAGGACCAGAAGGGUGAGGAGAAGGAAGAGGGUUCUGAAGAAAAAAAGCUGCAAGAAAGACUGGCUGAAUGUCAGCAAAACUCACACCAGGUAUCUCUGCCCCUUGGAAGGAAAACAAGAUAUUUUAUUUUUUUACUAAUUAAAAAUUUAUGCCGCCCAUCUCCCCCAUAAGGGGAGGCUGAAGGUUAACUCUGGGGCUUUUUAUAGCUCUCAGAAAACCAUUAAUGGGUUGAAGUGGGUGACCGAUCCAGCUAAAAACAACCCUGGAUUUGCUCUUUUAUCUUUUCAUCCAGCUCUUUGCCGCCGAAAACAUCACAAAAGAUUAACUUUCCUCCCCUUCAGAAAAGUUUUUUGUCCGGGAUGGUAUAAGGCCACCUGUCUCGGCAAGGGGUUGGACUAGAUGACCUCCAAGGUCCCUUUCAACCCUACGAGUCCGAGAAGAAAGAGUAGCCAGUGGAGUUUAAGUCUACCUGGAGGCUGUGAGGUCCCACCCCUGCCCACUUCAAAAGCCAAGAGGCCAACAGUGCUAACAUAUGAGCUGUGGUGGCGCAGUGGUCAGAAUGUGCAGGCUAAUUCUGCCCAAUGCCAGCUGUUCGAACCUAACUGGCUCAAGGUUGGCUCAGCCUUCCGUCCUUCCGAGGUGGGUAAAUGAGGACCCAAGGUUGUUGGGGGCAAGAGGCUGACUCUGUAAACCGCUUAGAGUGGGCUGUACAGCACUGAAGCAGUAUUUAAGUCCAAGGCAAAGGUCGUCAAACUUGGCAAGUUUAAGACUUGUGGACUUCAACUCCCAGAAUUCCUUGAGCUAACAUGACUGGAGGAGGAAUUCUGGGAGUUGAAGUCCACAAGUCUUAAAGCUGUCAAGUUUGAAGACCCCUGGUCGAAGUGUUAGUGCUGUUGCUAUCACCGCCCUUUAAGUGAGGUUGAAACUGACAUUCGGGACCCAGCAUGGUAGCUGGGUGGGAGUGUCUGUUUGGGAUGCGGCAAAUUGUGCCACGUGUCUUGCAGGCAAACGAGGAGCUGAAGGAAGCUCGUCAAAAUAAGCCAGCACUGGACUCCAAAACUGUCUGGGUAGACUCCUGCACUCGUCUGCCCCCCAAGGAUUGCCCCAAGGAACCGUACUGCUGGAGGAAAUUCUGAGGAGGCGUCGGUCACUUUUAGGCCUGUCCGAAGCAUCGCCUUGGGAUGGAAACCUUGCUUUUCUCCCCAAAAUAUCCUGAAUUUCAAACCAUCUGGUCAAACAAACCAGAUUUCUCCUGUCAUAUAGCUUGGCCGCUCAAAACCACACAAAGUUAAAAAGAUUUAGGAUGGCCAGAUUUUGCUUGGCUAAAGAGGCUUCAUUUCUGCAACCGAGACCCCAAAAUCUUGGAAAGGGUGGAGGGGAUGCCAUCUCUCUUUCCCUUCGGGGCCCUGAGUGACAUGUGGCAGUCCCCGUCCCCCCCCCAGGGAAAAGGCUACCCAGUGGGACGAAGCAGUUGGCACCAGAAUAAAUCUUUCCCCCUAAUAAUUGNGCAGUUGGCACCAGAAUAAAUCUUUCUCCCUAAUAAUUGCGCGAAGUAUCGGAAACCGGCAAGCAGGGAGCCAACUUAAUUCUGUUCCAUUUUUUCUAGACUUUGGAAAAGAUUUGCUAUAUAAAGUUGUGCCUUUCCUGCUUUUUUAUUUAAAUAAAGCAGCCUUUGGAAGACCC
ensembl:lncRNA